rnacentral:rRNA from 1 species
CGGACGGGUGAGGAACACGUACGGGACCUGCCCUUCAGUGGGGAAUACCCUCCCGAAAGGGAGGCUAAUGCCGCAUACGCUCGCUGGGGUGGAGCCCAGCGAGGAAAGGUGCAAAUCGCUGAAGGAGGGGCGUGCGGCCGAUUAGCUAGUUGGUGGGGUAAGGGCCUACCAAGGCGACGAUCGGUAGCUGGUCUGAGAGGAUGGUCAGCCACACUGGGACUGAGAUACGGCCCAG